rnacentral:lncRNA from 1 species
GGAGGUUCUUCCAGAGAUUUUCUGUUUAUUUAGAUAUGCAGUUGCUUGGAUUGAAAAUUCCGUGUGAUAAUAUGGAGCCCCGAGGCCAGACCUUAUCCACACAAAGAUUUAGUGCAUGUGGUGGAACAUUGAUUUGGUGAGGAUAUUAAAAUGGCCAGUGUAUGUUUGUUCAAAGUGCUUCAUAUCCUUUCAGUAAUUUUCAGCAGGGUGACAUUAGCUGCUCAUAAUAAAUUAUUAUUUGGUGCGGAUCUGUAUGCACUGACUCCUCUUGGUUGCUGUUCUAAAUAUGAGAAAUACAACACUUCAGUUGUUUCAUAAUAGUAACUUCUUUUUCUGACAGGGUGUGGAAGGAAUCAAAGAAUAUGGAAUGGAUAAGCUCAUCCAGGUUGCUGCAACCCAGCUCAGUGACCAGCUUCCAGAAUCGAGGGAGGCUGCACGCAAACUGUCAUUGGAGCUACAAGCAUUCUACGAGAAGUCUCAGGCCUCAAGUUCAGGCGAAGAUGAGAGCGUGCCGGCUGCCUCACCAGAAGCUGAAACCUGGGAGGCUUUCUGCCAAUCCAAGCUUUCCGCACUAAGCGCCCAAGCAAUCCUCCGCGUCACCUCUACAACAAAAGAAACCUCAACGACGAAAGACGGUGUAACCGUGAGUGUCCCUUUUGCCCUGAAAGAAGGCGGUGGCCCUGUUACCCCCAAAGAAGGUGAUGUCCUUGUUGCUCCGAAAGAGGGUGCCGCGGCAGUGGGUUGCUAGCAUCGGGAGGUGGCUGCUGUGAUUUUUCGCACAUCCAAUUCACGUAUUUUUGCUGUACAUGGUUUACGGUUGCUCCGUCAUCGAAUUUGCUGGGUUGUCUGCACUGGAGUUUCUUCAGGUUUUAUGCCUCCGGUGUUAAUAUUGGUCCGAGAUAUAGUCCCCUUGUUAUAGUCGAGCUUACAAUCCUUGGGUUCCACUGCUUGUGCUUGGCAAUGGUUGGUUCUCCGGUAAUUCAGUCAGGCGUAUGUAGAAUUUCAUCCACCGUUCCAUAUUUGCUGACAGUGUUAUUACACAGUGCACGUUUGUGUUCUUUUGCUUUUGCUCUGUAUACUUAGGUUCCAUUUGUGUGUCUACCCUACCAGUACGUGGUUUCUGCUGUAGAAUGUACACGAUGGUAACCAAAAUGCCAGGAGCCAGUCCCUGUACGUGAAAAAGAUGCACAUGCAUCGCAAGUGCUGGCCGCAGAGCAAGCUGCGCCGAUGAUAGCGUUUGGUUCAUGAGAACAUUGAAUCGCAGUGCAGAGACGCAUACUACAUUGUGAUUUCGUGAUUUCUUUUGAAAAUCAAAUGUACAUGUUCGUUUCUAGUACGGAACCUACACUUGCACGCAAAUUUCACUGGCAGACAGCGAACGCAGGGCAGGCUCCUCAGAGGGUGGGGCCUGCCCUGGGCGUGACCUCCUCAGCUCUCUCACAAUCUCACAUGGAUGUGGAACGGAAUGGAAUCCCUUAAUUAUUGGCUGAUUAUUAUGGGGAUCCAAUGAGAACUUUGCGUCUAGCAUGACCACCAUUUUGCAAAACAACGUUAAGCCUGCACUUUGGUUGCAUUCUGACGUCAUUUUUUAAAAAAAAGUUUGCACUUACUCCACAUGAAAUACCCAGAUCCCGAGGCACAUCGAUGCAAUUUUGCGUUGACCAAGUCCAACUGACCAAAACACAUAACAGGAGCAGCACAAUCUUCCAAAAACAAAAACACGGUGCCAAAUGUCAACAAAAGAAAAUAUCUUCCAAUAAAAAAAGGUAGCAGCAGAGCGGAGUAUAACCUAUGCCAGGCUCGCCGCACAGCCCAUAUUUCCAUCCAGCCAUCCAAGAUGACAGUAGCAGAAUGCAAGUGAGGACGAGGAACCGGAUCAAUCAGCCUCAACCAAUCCCCCACAAGCAGCGGGAGCGAACUGCCGCCACUGCCUCCCCUUCCUCCUCGUCGGCGCAGGUAAACCCCUCGCGAAUCCCGAUCCCUCCUCCUCACGCGCGCAGCAGCAUUAUUCGCGCCCUCCGGAUCUGCACCCCGCUCCCCCGUGCGAACGGCGUGAUCUACGCUGCCUUCCCCUCUUUGUUUUUUCGGUGCAGUGAUUUCUUAGGGGUUGGGAUAGAUCUCACCGAAUUUGGUUAGCGUAGAUGGAAUGGUGAACACAGGGUUAGUGCCUCUGCGGUUCUACCAGUGGCCGCGGCUGGGGUCAGCGGGCGGAGUCGGAGAUCUAUUUAGUUCGUUCAAAGUGAGUUCGAUGCGAUCUGGAGAUUGUUUCAGCGUGGUAGAUGCGCAUGAUCUCAAGGUCAUGGUGCAUUAGCGAAGGACAAAAAAAAAUUGAGGUGGGCCAAUUUCUAUCCUAACACUAUGUGUUAAUAUAGAUAUCACAUUUAAUAUUUUUAUAGGAUUACAAAAUAAAUUUGGUUUUUCAGACUUUUUAGGAUGUUUUUUUUGUUGGUACAUUUAAUGAUAUAUUGUACAGUGAUAUUUAUGUUAAAUAUUAUUUUUUAUCAUAUUAUAUGUCAAAUCAAUCAUAAUCGAAAGAUCAUAAUACAAAUAUUUAUAACAUAGAAUAUAUGACAAUUAUUAUGAUUUGCAAACAGUUCUUCGGUGGAGUGAGCAAGGAUCGACAACUCAAAUCUAUAUAAGCGUAAAGUUAUUUUUAUAUUUUUCUUGCAAAGAUAUCUUCAUACUUACCGCCUUAAAAAUAUCAAGUAGAUAUUUGGCAUAAUCACAAUACCUUGAGAGAUAUGCCAUCUUAUGAGAAAGAACUACACAAUCUGAAACAUAUUUGUGAGUCUGUGAAAAUCAGAACUCAUAAAACAAUAAUACACCACGUGGACAUGGUUAUCAUAUCUACUGCCAUUAAGUAAGAUGAUUAUCUAUCAACUUUCAUUAAUUAAGAAAUACGAGUAAAGAUACGUCGGUUAAUACAUCAAUGAAUAAUCAUACAUGGACAUCAACAGUAAAUAACCAAAAUAAGUAAGAGUGCAGAAGUUGCGUCUUCCGGAGAACCAAUCUUUGCAGGCUAUAUCGUCGUCGAUUGCGCAAAGUCACGUUGGAACGCCACACACACACCACCUCACACGGGGCGUUGCCGUUGAAAACUGGCUGCCGAUGUAGGCGACAAUUGACCCGUCAUCACUGCCUCCUACGACGUCUUUCUCAGAUCCCGUCCAAAUGCAUAGCUUGGCAAGUCAUCGUCAUCGCUGCCUCUAAUGAUACAGAGUUAAAUUAGUUGAAAUUUUAUAGAUUUAUUUUAUAUAGAGACGCAAAUACAAAUUCUAAAAGACCAAACAAAUUUACAUCUAACAAUGAUUUAAUAAUUUGUAUUAAAAUUAAUCCGAAUAGAAAAUAACUUGAUGCAAGGGUUACGGUAUGUAACACGAGUUUGUCUUUCUUUCCUCCAUAUUUUUUUUUCAUCCAUGUAUUCUUGAACAUUAUGAGUAAGUUUGUCUUUUUUUCCUCCAUGUAUAAACAACCUGUUAUUCAGGUUUAUUACUCCUUGUUAGUUGGCCCAGGCGCCCAGCUAACCACGUUACCCCCUCUCCCCAUCCCAUCUACUUCUUCUUGCCGAGCGACUCGGCGACCCAGCCCCCUCGCUCCGUGCAUCUUCUUCCUCCUCGCGCGAGCGCCGCCACCCAUCCCGCUGCCGAACGCCCGAGUCCCCUAGCUCGUCUUCCUCCUCGCUCGAGCGCCUCCACCGCAGGUUGAUCUCCACUUCGAUUCUCUCGCUCCCGACCGUUUCUGCUCCCAUCACCCCACGAACGGAUUCCGCCCUUUAGAUCCCCGUUUCAUAAUCUUCCCCAAUUCGUAACUGAGGCAAAAAUCAAGGUAGGGCGGCCGCCCUACCUUGCCCUACUGGGUCCUCCGCCCGUGUCAUGGUGUGAAUCAGUCGCGGUAGUGAGUGGCUUUGGAAGUAGGUUCAUGACACGCGCUCGGUGAUGCUUCGGUUGUUUGAGUUUGACUGUACCAAGUCACUGAUCUAGUUCAUUGUGAAUUCUAGCGUGGCAGUAGUACUGCUGCUGGAUGUUUUGGCUAUUUUUGUUGUGAUUUUAGGUUCCUAAGUUGGCACUUGGUGGCGAGUGAGUGUAUUUGUACAUGAUUGCUCGGCAGAAGUGAGUAUCGUUUGUUUACCUAGGGGAAUCUAGAUCAAGCAGGGCUCAGCAAUGUCCACACUGUACUGGAUUGUUUCUCGUCUUUCAUGGGAGUGGUUCUGCAGUUGACUUAGUAGAUUUGAUGCCAGAUAAUUUAGUGGAAAAAUCUUAGUCGCACUAGUUUUUUGGUUGCUUACGAGUUCUAUUGUUAUACUGUUGUUCUGUGGAAUGGACUAUUGCGCAAUUGGCUUUAUGGAAGACACGUCACACAAUUAUCAGGGGCACUAUGCAUUUUUUAUAUACCUGUUAGGAGAGGCUGCAGUUUCCUUGUUUUAGUCUGAUCCCAGCUUCUGUCAAUCAAUGCAGGUAGUGAAUAUGUCAGAUAGUACGUUGCAAGAUCUCAACCUAGCUCAAUCAGCAGAGCUGGAGAAAAGCAAAGACAGUGUUGCGAAACCGUGCAACACUAAGCCUGUGUUGAACGGCAACAAACGUGUCGACAAGGAAGAAAAUGCUCCGCUUGCAUGUCCUGAUGCUGUGACUAAUGGAUGUGAGGCUGCAGUUGUAGAUGUUGAGUAUAUUGAUUCUGAGAACCUGAUAGAUCUCCCAGAUGUUGACACAAGCUUUAGUGUAUGCAACUAGUUAUUCCAUUUGUGAUUUUUUGUUGGAUACUUAUAAAUUUUCUUCAGAACUAAGAUUUCCGUUCCCUAUUGGCUCGCAGACGUUGCUUGCAAGGUUGGAUUCAAAGGACUGGAUCAAGACAUGUGAGGCCCUUAAUAAUGUUCGUCAGUUAGCAAUAUAUCACAAAGAAAGGUUGCAGGAGCUGCUGUAAGUUGUUUCUAUUGUUUCCUGGAAAAACCGUUUGAUAAUGACAUCACUCAUCGAUCCACAUUGCUAUGAAAUUUACUACAUCUCUUCUGUUAAUUGUUUGAUAUAAACCAUUUGAAUUACAGGGAGCCUCUAGUUCCUCUUAUUGUGAAAUCUGUGAAGAAUCCAAGGAGUGCUCUGUGUAAAACUGCACUUAUGACCUGUGCUGACAUCUUUAAGGCAUAUGGUGAACUAAUGGUCGACUCAAUUGAUCUACUGGUGUGUUUCCCAUUUUAAAAUAGUCUAUUCACAAUUUCACUUGUUUGGUUUUCACACUAAUUAUGAAAUCACUUAAUUCAUGUUCUCUGUCAAAUGUGUUCACAGCUAAUGCCGCUGUUUCUAAAAUCUUCUCAAGACAAGCGCUUUGUUUGUGAAGCUGCUGAGGCAGCCCUUAUAUCAAUGACAAGCUGGAUCUCGCCUUCUAUAUUGCUACCGAAGAUGCAGCCUUACCUCAAGAACAGGAAUCCACGAAUUCGAGCAAAAGCAUCAGUUUGUUUCAGUAAGAGCGUAUCACGACUUGUAAGUGAAACUCUCUCCUGAAGAUUUACUUAAGAUCCCAGCUUUCUUAGCCCCAAUGAUUAUAUCAGAUUAUCUCCAAGGGAACCCAAAGAGAGGCUUCAGGAUUAAGUAUAUAUUCAUGUUGUGAUUUUGUCUAAUGCCCCAAAAUCUCAACUGGAUACAGUUAUAUAGAUGGAUAAUUUGAUCUCCUUGUGCUAUUCUUAUCUGUCCAUGAUCCUAGUUAGAGUUUAUAUGGAGGUUCUUCCAGAGAUUUUCUGUUUAUUUAGAUAUGCAGUUGCUUGGAUUGAAAAUUCCGUGUGAUAAUAUGGAGCCCCGAGGCCAGACCUUAUCCACACAAAGAUUUAGUGCAUGUGGUGGAACAUUGAUUUGGUGAGGAUAUUAAAAUGGCUAGUGUACGUUUGUUCAAAGUGCUUCAUACCGUUUCAGUAAUUUUCAGCAGGGUGACAUUAGCUGCUCAUAAUAAAUUAUUAUUUGGUGCGGAUCUGUAUGCACUGACUCCUCUUGGUUGCUAUUCUAAUACGAGAAAUACAGCACUUCAGUUGUUUCAUAAUAGUAACUUCUUUUUCUGACAGGGUGUGGAAGGAAUCAAAGAAUAUGGAAUGGAUAAGCUCAUCCAGGUUGCUGCAACCCAGCUCAGUGACCAGCUUCCAGAAUCGAGGGAGGCUGCACGCAAACUGUCAUUGGAGCUACAAGCAUUCUACGAGAAGUCUCAGGCCUCAAGUUCAGGCGAAGAUGAGAGUUUGCCUGCUGCCUUACCAAAAGCUGAAACCUGGGAGGCUUUCUGCCAAUCCAAGCUUUCCGCGCUAAGCGCCCAGGCAAUCCUCCGCGUCACCUCUACAACGAUAGACACCUCAAUGACGAAAGACGGUGUAACCGUGGGUGUCCCUUUUGCCCUGAAAGAAGGCGGCGGCCCUGUUACCCCAAAAGAAGGCGAUCUCAUUGUUGCUCCG